rnacentral:rRNA from 1 species
UACGGGGGGGGCAAGCGUUGUUCGGAAUUACUGGGCGUAAAGGGCGCGUAGGCGGUCAGAUAAGUCAGCUGUGAAAACCUCGGGCUUAACCCGAGGCCUGCAGUUGAAACUGUUUGGCUGGAGUGUGGGAGAGGAGAGUGGAAUUCCCGGUGUAGCGGUGAAAUGCGCAGAUAUCGGGAGGAACACCAAUGGCGAAGGCAGCUCGCUGGGACGGUACUGACGCUGAGACGCGAAAGCGUGGGGAGCAAACAGG